GGCUCUGAAAGUAAAGAAUCUGCCUGCAGUGCAGGAGACCCAGGUUCAAUCCCUGGGUCA
rnacentral:tRNA from 1 species